UGCGGAGGGUGCAAGCGUUAAUCGGAAUUACUGGGCGUAAAGCGUGCGCAGGCGGUUUGUUAAGUCUGCUGUGAAAUCCCCGGGCUCAACCUGGGAAUGGCAUUUGGGACUGCAAGGCUGGAGUGCGGCAGAGGAGACUGGAAUUCCUGGUGUAGCAGUGAAAUGCGUAGAUAUCAGGAGGAACACCUGUGGCGAAAGCGGCUCACUGGACCAUAACUGACGCUGAUGCACGAAAGCUGGGGGAGCAAACAGG
rnacentral:rRNA from 1 species